rnacentral:rRNA from 1 species
AUUGAACGCUGGCGGCAGGCCUAACACAUGCAAGUCGAACGGUAGCACAGAGAGCUUGCUCUCGGGUGACGAGUGGCGGACGGGUGAGUAAUGUCUGGGAAACUGCCUGAUGGAGGGGGAUAACUACUGGAAACGGUAGCUAAUACCGCAUAAUGUCGCAAGACCAAAGAGGGGGGCCUUCGGGCCUCUUGCCAUCGGAUGUGCCCAGAUGGGAUUAGCUUGUUGGUGAGGUAAAAGCUCACCAAGGCGACGAUCCCUAGCUGGUCUGAGAGGAUGACCAGCCACACUGGAACUGAGACACGGUCCAGACUCCUACGGGAGGCAGCAGUGGGGAAUAUUGCACAAUGGGCGCAAGCCUGAUGCAGCCAUGCCGCGUGUGUGAAGAAGGCCUUCGGGUUGUAAAGCACUUUCAGCGGGGAGGAAGGCGGUGAGUUUAAUAAGCUCACCGAUUGACGUUACCCGCAGAAGAAGCACCGGCUAACUCCGUGCCAGCAGCCGCGGUAA